rnacentral:rRNA from 2 species
AUAUAUAAACGACUCUCGGCAACGGAUAUCUAGGCUCUUGCAUCGAUGAAGAACGUAGCGAAAUGCGAUACUUGGUGUGAAUUGCAGAAUCCCGUGAACCAUCGAGUUUUUGAACGCAAGUUGCGCCCAAAGCCAUUAGGUUGAGGGCACGUCUGCCUGGGCGUCACAU